GGCCCCUUGGUCAAGCGGUUAAGACACCACCCUUUCGGUGGUAACAGGGGUUCGAUUCCCCUAGGGGUCA
rnacentral:tRNA from 1 species